CCUAAACUCACAUGGCAAUUAACCCUAACAAAGCAAGCAAUAUCAAGCUCACAUUCAGGUGGGUUAUGUCCAAAACGAACCUUUUAGUAGGAAUAACACCCUGCAAACCUCUUUCAGUGGGUCAAAUCAAAAGGGAGGGCAGUGAAAAUGCCUGCAAGCCUGGCUGUACUUGUUUGGAAUGGCAAAACAGACCCUCCAAGUGUCCCUAUUUUCCAGGCACAGUCCCAGAUUUACAGAAUCCAUCCAGGUUUCUCAUUUGAUCCCAGAAUGUCCCAAAUAGGAUGCAUGGAGUUUGUGACCCCUGAGCCAAAGAGAAAGGUAACUUGACAACUAUACAACAACUAUUCAACAUCUGAAGGUAGUCCUGUAUAGGGAAGUUUUUAAAUAUUUCAUGUUUUUAUAUAUGUUGGAAGCUACCCAGCAUGGCCCAGUCAAAUGGGCAGGGAAUAAUAAUAAUAAGAAGAAGAAUAAGAAUAAGAAUAAGAAUAAUAAUAAGAAUAAUAGAAUAGGCUGUCCCUAUUUUCAUUGGAGAAAUGUUGGAGGGUGUGGCAAAAUAGGCUUCAGAUGAGUUCAAAUGGGGAAAGGAAGAUCACAUGAUUGGCUGCUUCAAAAGAAGACUUCCUCAUCCCUCUGAAGACCCUAGAGGCAGGCAGGCAGGCAGGCAGGCAGGCACCCAAAAGCUGCUCGUCCUUGAUGGCAAGAGAGGUGCCAUUUUCAAGAGAGCAAUGGACUGGCAACAGGAAACAGAAGCCAGAAAAGACUUUUAGGUUCUCUUGUAUCAUGGCUGCAUUAGUGUUUUCUCCCUGAAGUUCUGAACCAACUAGCAUAAUCUCAAGGCAUGGACAUUAUGUAGGCCUGAUUCCUACCUCUCACCCAGAGUCAUAAGAUUCAAGCUAAGUCCUAAUUUAUCCUAAGAGAUUCUGAGGGACCAGGCUUUAUUAAAGCCUUCCAAGUAUUGCAAGGUAAAUUGCCAGUGGCCAGCCUCUAAUGCCAGGCCUUGCAAACGUGUCCACCACCUUCUGAAGGUAAGGUCUCUCAGGACAGGUGAGUUUAUCAGGAGGGUUUCUUCUCAUCCUUAAUUAGAUAUCAAUUGAAUUUGAAUUUCACAUGCAGUACCUAGGACUUAUUAGAAAGAUAUUUCAUAGCGCUGAUAUAAUUUCCCCAAGAAGCCAAUGAUCAUACUGAGUUAUACAAUGUGUUUCAGCAGUUCUACAAACUUAGUAUAUAACCUUGAAUGAAAAGACAAUUACUCAAUGUGCAGAAUUGUUGCCCUUUGCUAGAUAAGGGUCAGAUUUUGAACACCCAUUUAAUUUAUAAGGCAGGCGAAACAUUUUUUGAAAAAAGAACCAUGAAAUAGUUGGGUACUUCUUUUGCAGUUUAUAUGCAACUUUUAAUCUGUGAAAGUGGCAAUAACAGAUCUAUCCAAAGUAUGUACUUUACAAAUAAAUUCUGUUGAGCUCAGUGGAAACUAUUCUCAGGUACAAGUGCAUUUAAAAAAACCACCUGACCAUUUCAGGCUAAUCAGGAUCCAGCACAGGAUAUCCACUCAUGUGCAUGUGAAAGAUUAUUUUCCUGUUCAGCUGUGCCCCCUUGUUAGUCCAUCUAGAUAUGACAAUGAAUUUCUUUCUGAGCAGCACAGUCUAGAAUUUGUCUCGGUAUUCUUUUUAUAUUUUCAAUUUAGUAUGUAUUGAUUUCUCUUUCUACUGUUCUAUUUUUAGCUUAGUCUCACAAAGAUUAUGACCCCUAAGAAUAUCACCUAUUCUAUUAGCUCAUCCUGAGCAAAUGGACAGUCUCUCAACCUCUGGCACACAUGGUCAACAGGUGCUUUUUGUUUUCUUUAUCGGCAUGUAUCAUGAAUUCCAUCUAGGGUUGCCAUACGUCUGGAUUUUCCCGGACAUGCCCUCUUUUUGUGUUUGUGGGGGGAUUUUGGUGGGGGUGAGACCUUUAAAACUUGUCAAAACGUCCGGAAUUUUUUUGUUUUGGCUUCUAAAGAGAACUACAUUUCCCUUGAGGCCUCGGGGAUUCUGAAGCCGGCAGUUCCGAUCUAGCUGCCCGCUGGCUGUCCCGGGCGGGUGCCGUGUCGGAUGCCGGAGGGAAGUGGAGAGCGAGGCGGCAGCUGAGAGGAAGCGGGGGGCGCGCGGGAGAGGACGGAGGGUCCCCCGGAGCCGAGCAGCGAAGAGGAGCCGGGCGGGCUGGGCGGGAGCCGGCGCCCGGGAAGAGGCUGGGCGGUGGGGCGCCGCCUCCUCCUCCGGAGCUGGACCAGAGGCCGGGGAGGAGGAGGAGGAGGGAGGCGAGGGCGCGGCGGGGAAGGAGCCUCCUCCGUCAGGAGGCAGGAAGAUGCUGGGAGGCACCUCCUUGUUUUGCUUUUCCGGGGGGAAAGAAACCCAUCCGUUGGUUUUCUCUUUUCUUUCGCUCCCUUCGGUGUUGUGUCUCCGUCUCCUUUUCUCUGCCGGCUGCAGUGAGCCACCAAGAGGCAGCAAACUCGAGCGCUUCUGCCUCGCAUCCCCUCGCCAGACUCCGGUCAAAGAAGCGGAUGAAGCUUCAGCCGCCAAACCAAAUCUCCAGGGGAUCCGUGUUGGGAGGCAGGCUGGGCCUCCCUCCCCUAGGUCAGUUUCACCCAACGCAUGGUCAAAUCCACCUCUGCCAAAGAGCGCUCUUCUGCUUUAAACGUCCCGUUCCAACCUCAGUUUGCAGAAUUUAGGGAUCGAUCGCCUCUCCCUUCUCUCUCUUCUGCUUCUUCCUCCUUUCCGCCUAGAUCUCUCAGCUAGCGUUUAUUUAUAUGGAGAUCAGCUCUUCUUCCCUCCCCGCACCUUGGAUCGUCAUGAUGCAAACCCAGGAUAUGUAUUUGUAUUAUUUAAUAUUCUUUGUUAUUGGAAACACACUUCCUUAGGUGGGGGAUCAAGUUUUGUAAGGACAGGUAACAGAAAGCACCCCACCUAUCAAGUCUUUGCUGGAGAGAAAAUGUGUCUGAAGAUCUGCAUAUGACCUCCUCCACCUGCCCCCCCUUUUUUCUUUUUUUUUCUUCCCAGGAGGGGUUAAAAUGACCAGGAGCUGGAUUUGUUUUGAUCGCUAGCAGUUUAUUAAUUUUUAAAUCCUACCUAAGAUAAAAUGGACCAGCCGUCUGGAUAGAUAUUAAAAGUGUGUGUGUGUGUGUGUGUGUGAGAGAGAGAGAGAGAGAGAGAGAGAGAGAAAUUGGUAUUUUACAGCACCUUUUUCAGCAGCUAUAAAUGAGAUCUAGUUUCCAUCCCUGCUAAAUCACAUUAAAAAAAUGUUUCCCAGUUCUCAUGAUUGAGAGAUGUCUCAUGACAGGCUAGGCUUCCUUUGCUCCAGCAGAAUCUGAUGCUGAUGGGGAAGAGUCCCCCUGGGGUGUGUACUUGAUUAAUCAUUUAUUCUGUAAGGUGGGUGGCAUCACAGUGCAUUAGGUGAAGUUUUACUAGCAAAAGCAUAAACUCUGUAGUGGGUGAUUCCCCCUAGCAAUGGCCUUGGAAUGAUGUACAUGCUGAUGAGGAAGCAGAGAAACUGCUAUUCAGUGUCUGUGCAUACAAACAUUCUGACUGAUUUUUGCAUUUGUUUUCUCUUUAAAAACAAAAGCACCCAUCAGUUGCUACAUCAAAGUAAAGAAUGCUUUGCUGAACAUUUCAAAUUGUAGGGCUCUGUGGUGGCGGAGCAAUGCAAAACUCUUACUUCAGUGGAGUUGCUUGUAAAACUGGAAGAAGGGUUUCUUCUGGGGAGUGGAUGACAGAAAGCAUGUGCUGUGAGAUGUUUCAUUAGGCUGGAGGUUUGAGGGGGAAGGAAGACAUUCCCUUCUACUUUCUGCAUAGGAGAAGAAGAAGAAUUUAUUAUUUAUACCCCGCCCAUCUGGGUGGGUUUCCCCAGCCACUCUGGGUGGCUUCCAACAAAAUAUUAAAAACACAAUAAAAUAUCAGAGAUUAAAAACUUCCUUAAACAGGGCUGCCUUCAGAAACUACAAUAGGGUAGUUUCAUCUGCUUGUCCUGUGCAUGCAGGGAUCCCUCAUGGACGGAUAUGGCUUCAACUAGCUGUUGUUUAGGGUGCUACUUAAGGUUGUAAUAAUUCCUCCUUUUUGCCUAUGCUCCAUCAAGUGUUGGCCAAAUAUAUUUCAUCUACAUUACUGCAUGUGGCAGUGCCCCAGCAGUGGCAGCGACGACAGCCAUGUGCCUCCCAGGCUCCAUUCACCCUCCAUGCAUGUGCUUGGGGAAAGAGGCAAGAGGCUCUGUCAUCAUCCUGGCGCCCUGCUGCCAGCUUCCUUCCCCAAGACCAAGAAACACUUGCCCAGCUUUGGGAAGGAAACGGGAGGAUUCUUGGACCCUGUCGGAGCCCUCCUGGCUCCAUCCCAAAGCCAGGCAAGCGCUUCCUGGCCUUGGGGAAGGAGGCACAAGGCUCUGCCAGGAUCCUGGAGCCUUGCUGCCUCCUUUCCUGAGCAUGUGCAGAGCACCUACCCCUUUUGCCCACUUGGCUGUCCCUCCAGCCAUUUCUAGGCAGGGAGUACCAGCACCUUCUUUUCCAAAAAAAAAAAAAAAAGCACUGUGAGUUGUCAUGUAUAUAUUUGUGCUGUUAAUUGACAUCAACUAGAACUUGUAAUCUAUGUAUGUUGGUGGUGGUGGCUUUGAUAUAAAUAGUUGGCAAUUAGUAAAUAUUAGCGAUGGCUAGAUCUGGUAGUUUCUAAAGCUGUUCUGGAGAAAGCAAUAUUUGUUUUGUUUAUUAAGCCUUUUUUUAUAAAAAUGCUUAGCAACACCACCUUCUUCUAGAAAUUAAGCUUUACGAGGAGCGGUUGAAGGAGCUGGGUAUGUUUAGCUUGCAAAACAGGAGACUGAGAGGCGAUAUGAUAGUUAUCUUCAAAUACCUUAAGGUCUGUCACAUGGAGGAUGGAACAAGCUUGUUUUCUCCUGCUCUGAAAAGUAGGACUCAGACCAAUGGCUUCAAGUUACAAGAAAGGAGAUUCUGACUAAGCUUUUUUUUUUGGGGGGGGGAUGGGACUUUCUGACAGUAAGAGCUGUUCAGCAGUGGAACAGUCUUCCUUGGGACUCUCCUUCCUUGGAGAUUUUUAAGCAGAGGUUGGAUGGCCAUCUGUCCUGGAUGCUUUAACUGAUAUUCCUGCAUUGCAGGGGGUUGGACUAAAUGACUAAAUGAGGUAAACGCCGAUUCAGCUUCUUUCAUUGAGCCGCUGCGUGUUGGUGGCAGAUCAAUGAAUGAAAAGCCGUGUCAGAGUUUACCUAAGCAUGGUGGGGACUGACCAAUGAGUCUCUGCACCACUGAAAAGCCGCGUCAGAGAUGCUUACUGCCCCACAUCGCAGUAAACGCCGAUGUGGCCUUUCAGCCUCGGAUUCUCGGCAGGGCAGGUUUUCAAAUGGUCACACAGGCCGGAUUCGUGACCCUAUCAGGCUGCAUCUGGGCCAUGGGCCGUAGUUUGGGGACCCCUGUUUUAAAGCAUUGAGUGGUGUGGCAUAUUAAUCUCCUGAGAUUGAUGCACAUAUUUUACAACACAAGGUACCGUAUUGUCUCAAAGACAAGCCACACUUCCCCCCCCCCUAAAUUCCGACUGUGUAAAGUUAUUUGUGACCUUACAAAAAGCCAGAUAUUACUGCUGAAACAGUUAUACAGUGAACCCCCCCUUAACUCUUUAACUCCUGCUGGAGCCCUGGUGAGCGGGGGUGGCAGGUGGCUGGUGGUGCCGCCGCUUUGCCCUUCCUGCUGUGCACCUCCGCUGUCGUUGGGGAGGGUGCCCCCGUCCGGUGCCAGGAGUGGUGGGCGAGGGGAUGGCAAGUGCUGGUGGGGGCUGCCGCAGCACCGCCACUAUGCGAUCCUGGCACUGUUAAUGGAGGGGUCGAGCUGCGUGUCCCCUGCAGAAUGUCUUCUUGCCAAACCAGCCCCCACCGUUAGGGAGUGGGGUGGUGCCUGCCCAGCACGGGGGGGGGGGGGAGCUGGCGGCGGGUUGUGGGUGCCUAGGCAAGCCUCCACCUCUGCCCUAUGCAAACUUCCCCCCAGCUGCUCCAUGUAGGGCUGGCGCUUCGGGGGAGUGUUGGGGCGCCUUUGGCAGCUCCUCCCCAUCAUUUCCCAGUGCGCUGUGCAGGUCCUCUAGGGCUGCAGUUUUUUUUUCUCAGACCACGUGGUUGCCACCAAUUUUAACGAAGUGGCUUUUAUUCAGGUAUUGUCUCUCUCUCUCUCUCUCUCUCUCUCCCCCCCCCGAAUUUUUAAAGUGCGGCUUAUAUUAGGGGGUGGGCUAUAUUUGGGCCAAUACAGUAAUUUGUGUUGCCGGAGUAGUGGAUAUCUGGUAGAAAUUUGCAUUACCCUGCUUCUGGAAACAGAUUUUAGCUCACACCAUAAAGGGACAUUAUUUUAAAACAUCAGUAUCAAGGGACAGGAGGCAAGAGGAACAGGGGUAGGCAAAAGUUGUUUUUUAUAUUUGAAGGCCCUCUGUCAAAUAUUUCUGAGAUAAAAUUGCAAAACAGAAUGUAUUUUAAGAGCAUUUGCUAUGACUAUUUUUAGCUGAGAUUCCUGCAUUGCAGGGAGUUGGAUUCCAUGAGUCUAUUUUAUAAUACAUCAUCAUCAUCAUCAUCAUCAUAGCAGCAUUAUCAAUGACCUUCAAAUCGCCAGUCUUUUGUAAAGCAAAUGAAUCUGUGCUUGUCCAUGCUGAAGGCCCAAAUACCUAUUAAAAAUACUUUAAAGGGUGUCAUUCUAUGGUAAUAUCACUGUAGAUGUGUGUAAGGUAACUAAAUAGUCCUAUAUUUCUGUUCUUGUAAUUUAACCUCGGCCUUAUCCCAAAGUGGGUAUUUUGAUGUCACUAAGGCAGCAAUCCUAUGCACAUAUACUUGGAUAAGCACCACUAAACAGUGAGGCUUACUUCUGAGUAAACACAUGUAAGUAAAAUAUUUCCAUCUGUUUCACAAUGAAAUCUCAAAUAGUGCUCCUGUUUGAAUAUUCUGAAAGGUUUGUCACAGUGCAGCAAGAUCUCAAAGAAGAUUAUCUUUAUAUACAUCUCCUGGUUUGGUUUCAUUAUCCAGUUAUUUUGAAUUAUCUUUUAUGACAGCCAAAUAGUUUUCUGCUGCCCAGUACCAUUUUGCCUUUCUGGGUGCACUGGUAUGCCACUUGUGGUAUGUUAGUGAAAGCUUUUUGAAAAAUUUCUUUUGGAAAGACCAACAGUGCCAUCUAUGGUAGAAGCUAAGGAACAACCAGAUAAUCUCUCAAUUCAUGCUUUGGUUUUUCAUUUAAAGAAACAAAACAUAACAAAGGUUUCUCUGUCCUUUUCUUGCAAUAACAGCAAUAAAAGAUUAUUUUUUAAAAAAUGAUUUCCGUGGAGUCUGAUGCAAAGGAACUGAUCCACACUUCCAUAAUCAUCCUUUGAAUUUCCAAAUUUUUCAAUUCACUUAUCGGAUAAAAAAUGCUUCUAAAAGUUGUGCUUUAUGAUAAAAUAUCUUCAGAAAUUCAUAAUGUAUUUUUUAGCUAUUUAAAUACAAAUGUUAAUGUGUUUUCUCCUGCUCUGGAGGGUAGGACACAAUCCAAAGGAUUCAAGUUACAAGAAAGGAGAUUCUGACUCAACACCAGGAAGAACUUUCUGACAGUAAGAGCUGUUCGACUGUGGACUCCCUUGGGAGGUUGUGGAGUCUGCUUCAUUUGAGGCUUUUCAUCAAAGGGUGCUUUAGUUGAGCUGCAUUGCAGGGGAUUGGACUAGAUACCCUCAGGAUACCUUCCAACUUUACAAUUCCAUAAUUCUAUUAUUUUUUUCCAUUAAAAAAAUGGAAUUAAGACAGACUUUUGAAUAAAUACAUUAAAAAUUUGCAUGGGUAAGAAAUAGACUGAUCCUAAAAUGUACAAAAUAGGUCAAUAGGUCAUAAGAUUAUACGGUAACUAUAUUUGCAAUGUAUUUUUUCCGGUGUCUGUCCUUUGAUGCUAUGGCCUGUUGGCUACGCAAAUAAAGUCCUUGAACAUGAACAAUGUACAAAAUGCAAUUAGAAUGGGAAACAAAAGAUGAACAGGUGAAGGCAUCAAUGAUACACUGGGCAAUAGAUAUAGGAUGUAAUAUCGAAAUGUCAACAUGAGAAAGACUGUG